rnacentral:rRNA from 1 species
GAUGAACGCUGGCGGCGUGCCUAAUACAUGCAAGUCGAGCGAACGGAUGAGGAGCUUGCUUCUCUGAUGUUAGCGGCGGACGGGUGAGUAACACGUGGAUAACCUACCUAUAAGACUGGGAUAACUUCGGGAAACCGGAGCUAAUACCGGAUAAUAUUUUGAACCGCAUGGUUCAAAAGUGAAAGACGGUCUUGCUGUCACUUAUAGAUGGAUCCGCGCUGCAUUAGCUAGUUGGUAAGGUAACGGCUUACCAAGGCAACGAUGCAUAGCCGACCUGAGAGGGUGAUCGGCCACACUGGAACUGAGACACGGUCCAGACUCCUACGGGAGGCAGCAGUAGGGAAUCUUCCGCAAUGGGCGAAAGCCUGACGGAGCAACGCCGCGUGAGUGAUGAAGGUCUUCGGAUCGUAAAACUCUGUUAUUAGGGAAGAACAUAUGUGUAAGUAACUGUGCACAUCUUGACGGUACCUAAUCAGAAGGCCACGGCUAACUACGUG